GUUGAAAUCGUCGACCGGGUCCGA
rnacentral:siRNA from 1 species